UUUGGUUCCAUUCAGGUCCAGAGCUAAGGCUGGGAUUAUGUGAAGAUUUUAGAAAAUAAUCUCAAGGAACAGGAGAGUAGACUGAAAAAGUAAAAUGAGGAAAGAGAAGUAGCCAAAGAAAAGAACUGUUGUUGAGCUGAAUUCUGCUCUAGGCACCUAGAUCUCAGACCCACAGGGAUCCUCCAAGGAGCAAUGUAUACCCAUAAUUUUUCACUCUAAAAGUGGAAAAGCAGAGAAUUUAUACACUGAUUCUUGGUCAUGGAGUGUCCCAGCCAGGGGCCACAAAACUUCUAACUUCUAGGUUUGAACAAGGGUCAAAAUAACUGAGACCCUCCUGCAGGUGGAGGAGCUGCAGAAGACAGCAGAUGUCGUUGAGGUGGGGCCUUCCCAGGCUACAGCAGCAGAACCUGAUUCCAUCAGAAUAGACUUAUGCUUGUGACCCCAGGGCCCUCAGCAAUGUCAGGAACAGGGGUAGCUAGACGGAAUGUAGAUGAAGGAGAAAAAUCUCUGUUAAGAGAUAAAGUAUUUUUAGGCUCACAAAAACAGACAAAAUAUUUCAGAACACUGCUGUCUUUAAAUGAACCCAGUGCUACACCUACACCAAUACUGUCUCAUUUUCUCACCGGUACUGGAGUCCUGUGGCUUCUGUAACAUAUUACCAUGAAGUCUGUGGCUUAAAUCAACAGGAAUUGUUCUCUCGUCCAGAAGGCCAAUCAAUCUCACUGGGGCAAAAUCAAGGUAAACAGCAGUGAUAUCAUUCCAGGAGAAGAAAGCAGAUAGUGGAGGGAGCACAGGACUUGAAAUGGAAGACAGAUUUCAAGCCAGCAAUUCCACUUGAGAGCUGUGGAAUUAACUGCACUUCAGUCUCUCUAAAGACUAUAAGCCUGUGGGCACUGUACUUUUCUCAGCCUCAGUUUGAUUUUGUUGUCUUUUGUUUGUGAGUUUAUUGUUAUUAUAAUCAAAUGCAUCUCAUAGCAAUCCUGGGAGAAAUAUAUUCGAAAGCAGUUUAAAGCGCAAAAUGCAAAAUGAAAGUUAGUUAUUAUUGAUAGCAGUAAGUAGAAAGUGAAGCUGGAGUUCGA
rnacentral:lncRNA from 1 species